rnacentral:rRNA from 1 species
AGAGUUUGAUCCUGGCUCAGGACGAACGCUGGCGGCGCGCCUAACACAUGCAAGUCGAACGAGCGAGAGAGAGCUUGCUUUCUCGAGCGAGUGGCGAACGGGUGAGUAACGCGUGAGGAACCUGCCUCAAAGAGGGGGACAACAGUUGGAAACGACUGCUAAUACCGCAUAAGCCCACGGCUCGGCAUCGAGCAGAGGGAAAAGGAGCAAUCCGCUUUGAGAUGGCCUCGCGUCCGAUUAGCUAGUUGGUGAGGUAACGGCCCACCAAGGCGACGAUCGGUAGCCGGACUGAGAGGUUGAACGGCCACAUUGGGACUGAGACACGGCCCAGACUCCUACGGGAGGCAGCAGUGGGGAAUAUUGCACAAUGGGGGAAACCCUGAUGCAGCGACGCCGCGUGGAGGAAGAAGGUCUUCGGAUUGUAAACUCCUGUUGUUGAGGAAGAUAAUGACGGUACUCAACAAGGAAGUGACGGCUAACUACGUGCCAGCAGCCGCGGUAAAACGUAGGUCACAAGCGUUGUCCGGAAUUACUGGGUGUAAAGGGAGCGCAGGCGGGAAGACAAGUUGGAAGUGAAAUCUAUGGGCUCAACCCAUAAACUGCUUUCAAAACUGUUUUUCUUGAGUAGUGCAGAGGUAGGCGGAAUUCCCGGUGUAGCGGUGGAAUGCGUAGAUAUCGGGAGGAACACCAGUGGCGAAGGCGGCCUACUGGGCACCAACUGACGCUGAGGCUCGAAAGUGUGGGUAGCAAACAGGAUUAGAUACCCUGGUAGUCCACACCGUAAACGAUGAUUACUAGGUGUUGGAGGAUUGACCCCUUCAGUGCCGCAGUUAACACAAUAAGUAAUCCACCUGGGGAGUACGACCGCAAGGUUGAAACUCAAAGGAAUUGACGGGGGCCC